CUCAAUUUUGGCAUCGAUGUGGAUCACGCUGUAUUAUCUGAUGACCUGAUGAAAUCUCCCUUCCAGGAGAAAUCAAUGCCCCAAAACCCAAACUGGAUACAUUUGCAAGUUUCUUCUGUUUCAAAACCUUGUGAGCAGAAAAUAAGACACAUGGUAAUUCCUCAAUAGAUACUGAAUCCUCUGUAGCUAAGGGAACUUGGUGCUGCAACUCAG
rnacentral:misc_RNA from 1 species